GUCUGCGGCUAUACCACCCUGAACGCACCCGAUCUCAUCUGAUCUCGGAGGCUAAGCAGGGUCAGGCCUGGUUAGUACUUAGAAGGGAGAAGAAACAGUGUGGCCAAGGGCA
rnacentral:rRNA from 1 species